rnacentral:sRNA from 1 species
CUGCCUGUGUGUCUCCCGGCAGGUUCUUCUUCAGCACUGUGGCCUCGGCCACAGCCGGCAUGCUCUGCCUGAUCGCCGUCCUGCUGUACAUCCUCGUCCAGUACCUCGUGAACCCCGGGGUGCUCCGCACGGACCCUAAGUACGAAGGAUGGCCCCUGAGGCUGCCAGUUCCAGAGAGGGUCCGUCACCCAAAGACAUCCACACUGAAUCCAACCCUCUGCCGUUCUGCCUUGCCCGGCCCUCUGCCGUUCUGCAUUACGCCUGAUUUUUGGAAGUGUUGUGGUUUUGAGUGUUGGCAGCCCAGUGUCACAGAGGACCAUAUCUUAGAAAUGACCCCAGGCGAGAGCUGUGGCUUUCCUGUUCUGUUUGAAGGCGGCUGUUUUAGGGUGCAGAGGGUCCAGGGACACAGCGUGGGCCAUGAGGAAGGGAUGGGUGCUGGGGCCU